rnacentral:rRNA from 1 species
CUACGGGCGGCACCAGGUAGGAAUCUUUUGCAAUGCACGAAAGUGUGACAAAGUGAGCCAGAGUGUUUUCCUAUAAUUGGAAAGCUUUUGCCAAAUGUAAAAAGUUUGGCGAAUAAGGACUGGGUAAGACGAGUGCCAGCCGCCGCGGUAAUACUCGCGGUCCAAGUCGCAACCAUCUUUAUUGGGUCUAAAACAUCCGUAGCUUGAUUGAUAAGUUUCUUGUGAAAUCCCACAUCUCAAGUGUGGGGCGUGCGGGAAGUACUAUCAGGCUAGAGACUGGGAGACGUAAAGAGUACAGUUGAGGUAGUGGUAAAAUAUUUUAAUCUUGACUGGACUAACAACAGCGAAGGCACUUUACGAGAACAGUUCUGACAGUAAGGGAUGAAGGCUAGGGGCGCAAAACGGAUUAGAUACCCCGGUAGUC